rnacentral:rRNA from 1 species
AUACGGAGGAUGCAAGCGUUAUCCGGAUUUAUUGGGUUUAAAGGGUGCGUAGGCGGUUUGCUAAGCGGGAGGUGAAAUGCCGGCGCUCAACGUCGGAAGUGCCUCCCGAACUGGUGGACUUGAAUGACUCUGCCGUGGGAGGAAUGGGUAGUGUAGCGGUGAAAUGCUUAGAGAUUACACAGAACACCGAUCGCGAAGGCAUCUCACGAAGGGUUGAUUGACGCUGAGGCACGAAAGCGUGGGGAUCAAACAGGAUUAGAUACCCUGGUAGUCCACGCAGUAAACGAUGAUGGCUAACCGCUGGGCUUAUCAGUUCAGUGGCCAAGCGAAAGCGAUAAGCCAUCCACCUGGGGAGUACGACCGCAAGGUUGAAACUCAAAUGAAUUGACGGGG